AUUGAACGCUGGCGGCAGGCCUAACACAUGCAAGUCGAACGAGUGGUGGAAGGGAGAGUAAUGUCUGGGAAACUGCCUGGUGGAGGGGGAUAACUACUGGAAACGGUAGCUAAUACCGCAUACCAUAGGAUGUGCCCAGAUGGGAUUAGCUGGUAGGUGGGGUAAAGGCUCACCUAGGCGCCGAUCCCUAGCUGGUAUGAGAGGAUGAACACCCACACUUGAAGUGAGACACGGUCCAGCCUCCUACGGUAGGAAUCAGUGGGUAAUAGGGCUCAAUGGGCGCAAGCCUGAUUCAGCCAUGCCGCGUGUAUGAAUAAGGCCUUCGGGUUGUAAAGUACUUUCAGCGGGUAGGCGUUACCCACAGAAGAAGCACCGGCUAACUCCGUGCCAGCAGCCGCGGUAAUAC
rnacentral:rRNA from 1 species